ACCAGGAUGUUGGCUUAGAAGCAGCCACCAUUUAAAGAGUGCGUAAUAGCUCACUGGUCGAGAGACUCUGCGCCGAAAAUGUCCGGGGCUAAAGUGUAAAACCGAAGUCGUGUCAUAUGCAGCAAUGUAUAUGGGUAGGGGAGCGUUCUCAUCGGGCUGAAGCAGUACCGUAAGGAGUUGUGGACUGAUGAGAAGUGAGAAUGUCGGUAUGAGUAGCGAAAAGAAUGGUGAGAAUCCAUUCCACCGAAAGCCUAAGGGUUCCUGAGCAACGAUCGUCGUCUCAGGGUAAGUCGGGACCUAAGCCGAGGCGGAAUAGCGUAGGCGAUGGACAACAGGUUGAAAUUCCUGUACCGGUGUGAAUCGUUUGAUCGAUGGAGUGACACAGUAAGGUAGGUCAGCACGCGAUUGGAAGAGCGUGUUUAAGCAGGUAGGUUGAGCUAUAGGCAAAUCCGUAGCUCUAAAAGCUGAGAUGUGAUGACGAGUGACUAGCAAUAGUCGCGAAGUGAUUGAUCCUACACUGUCGAGAAAAGCUUCUAGGUAGAGACACAUCGCCCGUACCAAAACCGACACAGGUAGGCGGGGAGAGAAUCCUAAGGUGCGCGGGAAAACCCUCGUUAAGGAACUCGGCAAAAUGCCUCCGUAACUUCGGGAAAAGGAGGACUCAUGUAGUGUGAAGAGCAGAAGCGCUUGGAGCAUGAAUGAGUGGCACAAGAGAGGCGCAAGCGACUGUUUACCACAAACACAGGUGCCUGCUAAAGCGAAAGCUGAUGUAUAGGUGCUGACACCUGCCCGGUGCUGGAAGGUUAAGAGGAGGGGUUAGACUUCGGUCGAAGCUCUGAAUUGAAGCCCCAGUAAACGGCGGCCGUAACUAUAACGGUCCUAAGGUAGCGAAAUUCCUUGUCGGGUAAGUUCCGACCCGCACGAAAGGUGUAACGACUUGCGCACUGUCUCAACGAGGGACCCGGUGAAAUUGAAGUACCUGUGAAGAUGCAGGUUACCCGCGACUGGACAGAAAGACCCCAUGGAGCUUUACUGCAACCUAAGAUUGAACUUAGUUAAUGAAUGUACAGGAUAGGUGGGAGACGGAGAACCUAGGACGCCAGUUUUAGGGGAGUCGCUGUUGGGAUACCACCCUUUCAUUAAUUGAUUUCUAACGGGCCGAGUAACGACCGGCCGGACAGUCUUAGGCGGGCAGUUUGACUGGGGCGGUCGCCUCCAAAAGAGUAACGGAGGCGCCCAAAGGUUCCCUCAGAGCGGACGGAAAUCGCUCGAAGAGUGUAAAGGCAGAAGGGAGCUUGACUGCGAGACGGACAGGUCGAGCAGGGACGAAAGUCGGGCUUAGUGAUCCGGUGGUGCCGAGUGGAAGGGCCAUCGCUCAACGGAUAAAAGCUACCCUGGGGAUAACAGGCUAAUCUCUCCCAAGAGUCCAUAUCGACGGGGAGGUUUGGCACCUCGAUGUCGGCUCAUCACAUCCUGGGGCUGAAGUAGGUCCCAAGG
rnacentral:rRNA from 1 species